rnacentral:rRNA from 1 species
AUAUUAAUAAGCGGAGGAAAAGAAAACAACUGUGAUUCCCUUAGUAAUGGCGAAUGAAACGGGAAGAGCCCAAGUUGAAAAUCCGAAAGGAAUUGUAAUCUAUAGUUCUGAUCCGAAGUAUGGUACGACGUCUAAGAUGCUCUGGAACGAGCCGCCGUGGAAGGUGAUAGCCCUGUAUGGUGUCGUAUCUGCGUAGGUGAAAGUUCGAAGAGUCGGUCACCCUGGAAUCGGUGACCUAAAUGGGAGAUAAACUUCUUCUAAGGCUAAAUAACUAUGGGAGACCGAUAGCGCACAAGUA